rnacentral:rRNA from 1 species
UGGGAGGCAGCAGUGGGGAAUUUUGGACAAUGGGCGCAAGCCUGAUCCAGCCAUUCCGCGUGCAGGAUGAAGGCCUUCGGGUUGUAAACUGCUUUUGUACGGAACGAAAAGGCUCUCUCUAAUACAGGGGGCUCAUGACGGUACCGUAAGAAUAAGCACCGGCUAACUACGUGCCAGCAGCCGCGGUAAUACGUAGGGUGCGAGCGUUAAUCGGAAUUACUGGGCGUAAAGCGUGCGCAGGCGGUGAUGUAAGACAGGUGUGAAAUCCCCGGGCUCAACCUGGGAACUGCAUUUGUGACUGCAUCGCUGGAGUGCGGCAGAGGGGGAUGGAAUUCCGCGUGUAGCAGUGAAAUGCGUAGAUAUGCGGAGGAACACCGAUGGCGAAGGCAAUCCCCUGGGCCUGCACUGACGCUCAUGCACGAAAGCGUGGGGAGCAAACAGGAUUAGAUACCCGUGUAGUCCU